rnacentral:lncRNA from 8 species
AUGGAUGAGGAGGAGGAGGUGGCGGCAGAGAGAGUGCACAGGAAAGAUGGCGUCGUUUCACCCGUUGACUCAACAAGCAUCUCCGUAGAGCGAUGCUGCGACCAGGAGACACACAAACAACAGACACAGAACACACAGCAGUGGCAGGCACUCGCUUGCGUCCCAACUAAUAUCAAGGUCUGCUUUGGCCAGAGGAGGAUGGUGCACAAUGCCCAGGGUGGACCUUGACACAUUUUCCCAAAAGCUUCCUGUACUAAAACACACCUUGAAUGUGGCUCAAAUGUUUAUUUUUUAUUUUUUUACAUUUUAUCUAUUGAAAGAUAUUGAUUUUAAUCAAUGUAGGUAUGGGUAAAGCUAAUUAUAAACCAAACUGUAAUACUGUUGUAAAUUUUAGAUACUGUAUGUGCAGGCUUAUUUAAGUGAGUACCUAAGACCUAACUCAAUGUUUUAAUAUUAACUGUUUUAAAAUACUAUGAGCAAUAAAGUAACAAACUUCUCAGUAAUGUUUUUCACUUCACUUAGACACCACUCUCUGUCCUGUGACUGCUUCCUGUUUUUAUGUGCGACCAUCCUUUUCAAUGGUCACUCACUGGCCCACAGAGGAGCUUACCUAACUACACAUUUCUGCAAAGUAGGUAUAAAUGUCAGUGGCACUUUGAGCCCCAAAUGGUGAA